rnacentral:rRNA from 1 species
CACUCUGAUGGGACUGCCGGUGACAGACCGGAGGAAGGUGGGGAUGACGUCAAGUCCUCAUGGCCCUUAUAGGUGGGGCUACACACGUCAUACAAUGGCCGGUACAAAGGGCAGCAAACCCGCGAGGGGGAGCCAAUCCAUCAAAGCCGGUCGUAGUCCGGAUCGCAGUCUGCAACUCGACUGCGUGAAGUCGGAAUCGCUAGUAAUCGUGGAUCAGCAUGUCACGGUGAAUACGUUCCCGGGUCUU